rnacentral:rRNA from 1 species
ACGGGUGAGUAAUACAUCGGAACGUGCCCAAGAGUGGGGGAUAACGGAGCGAAAGCUUUGCUAAUACCGCAUACGAUCUACGGAUGAAAGCAGGGGACCGCAAGGCCUUGCGCUCAUGGAGCGGCCGAUGGCAGAUUAGGUAGUUGGUGGGAUAAAAGCUUACCAAGCCGACGAUCUGUAGCUGGUCUGAGAGGACGACCAGCCACACUGGGACUGAGACACGGCCCAGACUCCUACGGGAGGCAGCAGUGGGGAAUUUUGGACAAUGGGCGCAAGCCUGAUCCAGCCAUGCCGCGUGCAGGAUGAAGGCCUUCGGGUUGUAAACUGCUUUUGUACGGAACGAAAAGCCUCUUUCUAAUAAAGAGGGGUCAUGACGGUACCGUAAGAAUAAGCACCGGCUAACUACGUGCCAGCAGCCGCGGUAAUACGUAGGGUGCGAGCGUUAAUCGGAAUUACUGGGCGUAAAGCGUGCGCAGGCGGUAAUGUAAGACAGAUGUGAAAUCCCCGGGCUCAACCUGGGAACUGCAUUUGUGACUGCAUUGCUGGAGUGCGGCAGAGGGGGAUGGAAUUCCGCGUGUAGCAGUGAA